AGGCAGCCUACUUGCUUUUAUACAAUGGCAUGAGAGGUGUUUAACUGCUCAUAAAUCAAUUUCUUUGGCUCUUCAGAUUUGCUGAGAUUUUUCUCUGAAGCUGGUCUAGUAAGCUUAAGUAUAUU